rnacentral:misc_RNA from 1 species
UGGUUUGCGUAACAAAGUUGAUGAGAGUGAUUGAUUAAGAGGGAAAAAAGGGGACACUUGGGCAAUGUUGUUUGUCAUAUACAUAGAUGUUGACAUUCAAAUCAGGAAAACAAAAACAAAUAAAUUCUCAUGGGCAUGGGCAUUUGUAUGUAUGAAUUCCCUGCUUUGAUGCUAUGAGGAGAUCCAACCCACCAAUUUUGCAUUAUUUCAUGGGCAUGGGACCCAACAUAUGCUUCCAAAUGGGCUUUCACAACACCAAUUCUAGUGAACCCCAUGUAACCAUUUUUGACAAUUAAGCACGCUAUCCCAUCUAUUUUUGUCUGAUAAUAUCAGUGGGUAGCUCACUUUCUCAAGUGGGUCAUGACUCAUUAAAUCUCUUUUGUUUGGAUUGUUGGGUUGUUCAAUCAGUCACUUUCUUUCCUCAUGGCCUUUGAAAAAGCUUACAU